AUUGAACGCUGGCGGCAGGCCUAACACAUGCAAGUCGAGCGAGCGGCGGACGGGUGAGUAAUGUAUGGGGACUGCUCGAUAGUGGGGGAUAACUACUGGAAACGGUGGCUAAUACCGCAUACUAUCGGAUAACCCAGAUGGGAUUAGAUAGUAGGUGGGGUAAAGGCUCACCUAGGCGACGAUCUCUAGCUGGUCUGAGAGGAUGAUAAGCCACACUGGGACGGAGACACGGCACAGACUCCUACGGAGGCAGCAGUGGGGAAGAUGGCACAAUGGGAGCAAGCCUGAUGCAGACAUGCCGCGUGUAUGAAGAAGGCCUUAGGGUUGUAAAGUACUUUCAGCGGGGAGGCGUUACCCGCAGAAGAAGCACCGGCUAACUCCGUGCCAGCAGCCGCGGUAAUAC
rnacentral:rRNA from 1 species